rnacentral:rRNA from 1 species
ACUAGGAAUCGGGCGAUGUUAUCUUUUUGACUUCGCUCGGCACCUUACGAGAAAUCAAAGUCUUUGGGUUCUGGGGGGUGUAUGGUCGCAAGGCUGAAACUUAAAGAAAUUGACGGAAGGGCACCACCAGGAGUGGAGCCUGCGGCUUAAUUUGACUCAACACGGGGAAACUCACCAGGUCCAGACACAAUAAGGAUUGACAGAUUGAGAGCUCUUUCUUGAUUUUGUGG